AUUGAACGCUGGCGGCAGGCUUAACACAUGCAAGUCGAGCGGGGGAAGGUAGCUUGCUACUGGACCUAGCGGCGGACGGGUGAGUAAUGCUUAGGAAUCUGCCUAUUAGUGGGGGACAACAUCUCGAAAGGGAUGCUAAUACCGCAUACGUCCUACGGGAGAAAGCAGGGGAUCUUCGGACCUUGCGCUAAUAGAUGAGCCUAAGUCGGAUUAGCUAGUUGGUGGGGUAAAGGCCUACCAAGGCGACGAUCUGUAGCGGGUCUGAGAGGAUGGUCCGCCACACUGGGACUGGGACACGGCCCAGACUCCGACGGGAGGCAGCAGGGGGGAAUAUUGGACAAUGGGGGGACCCCUGAUCCAGCCAUGCCGCGUGUGUGAAGAAGGCCUUAUGGUUGUAAAGCACUUUAAGCGAGGAGGAGGCUACUUUAGUUAAUACCUAGAGAUAGUGGACGUUACUCGCAGAAUAAGCACCGGCUAACUCUGUGCCAGCAGCCGCCGUAA
rnacentral:rRNA from 1 species